rnacentral:ncRNA from 1 species
AAUAAAGGCAAACCAGUUGAAAAGCUGGGACGCAAAGCUACAGGCCUACUGUUAUUAGGGUAACUAGGGUGGCUGGGCUGCUGA